rnacentral:rRNA from 1 species
AUUGAACGCUGGCGGCAUGCCUUACACAUGCAAGUCGAACGGUAACAGGUCUUCGGAUGCUGACGAGUGGCGAACGGGUGAGUAAUACAUCGGAACGUGCCUAGUAGUGGGGGAUAACUGCUCGAAAGAGCAGCUAAUACCGCAUACGACCUGAGGGUGAAAGCGGGGGAUCGCAAGACCUCGCGCAGUUGGAGCGUCCGAUAUCAGAUUAGGUAGUUGGUGGGGUAAAGGCUCACCAAGCCAACGAUCUGUAGCUGGUCUGAGAGGACGACCAGCCACACUGGGACUGAGACACGGCCCAGACUCCUACGGGAGGCAGCAGUGGGGAAUUUUGGACAAUGGGCGCAAGCCUGAUCCAGCCAUGCCGCGUGCGGGAAGAAGGCCUUCGGGUUGUAAACCGCUUUUGUCAGGGAAGAAAAGACUCCUGUUAAUACCGGGGGUUCAUGACGGUACCUGAAGAAUAAGCACCGGCUAACUACGUGCCAGCCGCCGCAGUAAGAC